UGGGGAAUUUUGGACAAUGGGGGAAACCCUGAUCCAGCCAUCCCGCGUGUGCGAUGAAGGCCUUCGGGUUGUAAAGCACUUUUGGCAGGAAAGAAACGUCAUGGGUUAAUACCCCGUGAAACUGACGGUACCUGCAGAAUAAGCACCGGCUAACUACGUGCCAGCAGCCGCGGUAAUACGUAGGGUGCAAGCGUUAAUCGGAAUUACUGGGCUUAAAGCGUGCGCAGGCGGUUCGGAAAGAAAGAUGUGAAAUCCCAGAGCUCAACUUUGGAACUGCCAUUUUAACUACCGGGCUUGAGUGUGUCAGAGGGAGGUGGAAUUCCGCGUGUAGCAGUGAAAUGCGUAGAUAUGCGGAGGAACACCGAUGGCGAAGGCAGCCUCCUGGGAUAACACUGACGCUCAUGCACGAAAGCGUGGGGAGCAAACAGG
rnacentral:rRNA from 1 species